GACAGAGGGUGCAAGCGUUGUUCGGAAUCAUUGGGCGUAAAGGGCGCGUAGGCGGUUUUGUAAGUCGAAUGUGAAAGCCCAGGGCUCAACCUUGGAAGUGCAUCCGAAACUGCGAAACUUGAAUCCUGGAGAGGGUGGUGGAAUUCCCAGUGUAGAGGUGAAAUUCGUAGAUAUUGGGAGGACACCGGUGGCGAAGGCGACCACCUGGACAGAGAUUGACGCUGAGGCGCGAGAGCGUGGGGAGCAAACAGG
rnacentral:rRNA from 1 species